CAUGUAUUUGAACAUUGUAUUUACCACUGUCGUUGUAAGCCGCUGAUGUGACGUCAUGGCAACGCUGCAUCAUAAUGACUGUGAA